rnacentral:rRNA from 1 species
AACGAACGCUGGCGGCAGGCUUAACACAUGCAAGUCGAACGCAUCCUUCGGGGUGAGUGGCAGACGGGUGAGUAACGCGUGGGAACGUGCCCUUCAGUUCGGGAUAACCCAGGGAAACUUGGGCUAAUGCCGGAUACGUGCGAGAGCAGAAAGAUUUAUCGCUGAAGGAUCGGCCCGCGUCUGAUUAGUUAGUUGGGGGGGGAAUGGCCCACCAAGGCGACGAUCAGUAGCGGGUCUGAGAGGAUGAUCAGCCACAUUGGGACUGAGACACGGCCCAAACUCCUACGGGAGGCAGCAGUGGGGAAUAUUGGACAAUGGGCGCAAGCCUGAUCCAGCCAUGCCGCGUGAGUGAUGAAGGCCUUAGGGUUGUAAAGCUCUUUCGUCCGGGACGAUAAUGACGGUACCUAACCAGAAAGCCACGGCUAACUACGUGCCAGCCGCCGCCGUAA